rnacentral:rRNA from 1 species
UACAGAGGGUGCAAGCGUUGUUCGGAAUUAUUGGGCGUAAAGCGCGUGUAGGCGGCUUUGCAAGUCGGGUGUGAAAGCCCUCAGCUCAACUGAGGAAGUGCGCCCGAAACUGCAGAGCUUGAGUGCCGGAGAGGGUGGCGGGAAUUCCCCAAGUAGAGGUGAAAAUUCGGUAAGAUAUGGGGAGGAACACCGGUGGCGAAGG